UCAAACAAUUUUUUUUUCUAAAAUUUCCAUAAAAAUCAUCAAUUCAAAUAUAGAUUUAACCACAAAACUAUAAAAGUUUUUCUUAAAUCGAUCGGAAGAAAUCAAUUCUAAAAACCACAUAUCGAUUGGGUAUAUAAAUUCAAGUGAUUUGCGAUUUCUCAGGCAAACAUUUGCAGUCUGUUGUGAAAGAAGUAUCAAAGUAUAUUGAAAAUGAAUUUUUCCCGCAUUUACAAUACUUUUGCCAUCGUCCUGGUCUUUGUUUUGGCCGUAUGCACUACCCAAAUCGAAGCCAAGGGCAAGGGUAAGGGUAAAGGUAGAGGUGGCGGUAACAGUGGCCAUGCCUGGAGAGCAGGAGCCCAUGUGGCUGGAUCUGCUGUUCAAGGUGUUGCCGCCGAGGCAGUACGUCAAGGUUAAAAACUUUUUGCAGUUAAUAACAUUUCGUAAUAAUGUUCAAAAUAUGGGACAUUAAUAAAAUAAAUGCUUUGAAUAAAUAAAACCUCUAAUUGAAACGAAA